GAAUUCAACUCCUACGGGAGGCAGCAGUGGGGAAUAUUGGACAAUGGGCGCAAGCCUGAUCCAGCCAUGCCGCGUGAGUGAUGAAGGCCCUAGGGUUGUAAAGCUCUUUCACCGGUGAAGAUAAUGACGGUAACCGGAGAAGAAGCCCCGGCUAACUUCGUGCCAGCAGCCGCGGUAAUACGAAGGGGGCUAGCGUUGUUCGGAAUUACUGGGCGUAAAGCGCACGUAGGCGGAUUGUUAAGUUAGGGGUGAAAUCCCAGGGCUCAACCCUGGAACUGCCUUUAAUACUGGCAAUCUAGAGUCCGAGAGAGGUGAGUGGAAUUCCGAGUGUAGAGGUGAAAUUCGUAGAUAUUCGGAGGAACACCAGUGGCGAAGGCGGCUCACUGGCUCGGUACUGACGCUGAGGUGCGAAAGCGUGGGGAGCAAACAGGAUUAGAAACCCUAGUAGUCCAGGCGUU
rnacentral:rRNA from 1 species